UUGAUCCUGGCUCAGGAUGAUUGAAAGCGGCGCGCUUAAUGCAUGCAAGUCGAGCGAUGAGGCCUCUUCGGGGGGUACAUCAGCGGCAGGCGGGUGAGUAACACGUAGGUGAUCUACCCCAGAGACGGGGAUAACGGACGGAAACGUCCGCUAAUACCGGAUGACCUUGCCGAGUCAAAUUGGCAAGGAAAGGCUCCGGCGCUCUGGGAGGAGCCUGCGGCCCAUCAGCUAGUUGGCGGGGUAAAGGCCCAUCAAGGCAGAGACGGGUAGGGGGUGUGAGAGCAUGGCCCCCCACAAUGGGACUGAAACACGGCCCAUACUCCUACGGGAGGCAGCAGCAGGGAAUAUUGCACAAUGGACGGAAGUCUGAUGCAGCGACGCCGCGUGGAUGAUGAAGGCCCUCGGGUUGUAAAAUCCUUUACAAGGGGACGAGGAAGGACGGUACCCUUGGAACAAGUGUCGGCUAACUACGUGCCAGCAGCCGCGGUAAGACGUAGGACACAAGCGUUAUCCGGAUUUACUGGGCGUAAAGCGUCUGCAGGCGGACAGGUAAGUUGGGCGUGAAAGCUCCGGGCUCAACCCGGAGAGGUCGUUCAAUACUGCGUGUCUAGAGGGUGUCAGAGGGGAGUGGAAUUUCCGGAGUAGCGGUAAAAUGCGCAGAGAUCGGAAAGAACACCAAUGGCGAAGGCAGCUCCCUGGGGCAUACCUGACGCUAAGAGACGAAAGCUAGGGGAGCGAACAGGAUUAGAGAC
rnacentral:rRNA from 1 species